CAAACUACUGUAUGAGAACCUACCUGUACAAAAUACUAAGCUGAGCUGCUAUUACACUGUAGAAUUGGAAGUCUAAUGUAUGUCUGUGCUGUUGAAGAAUUUCAGUAAAUUAGUCAAAUUGAUAACUGCCUCCUGUCAUGCGUUCUGACCGACGUUCCAGGGCGAGAGCUAUAGCCUCCUAAGCACCUGCGGUUCUUUCUCCUAAAUAAUAAUUCUCCUGUGCAUCAUCUAAAGCAGGGGUGACCAACCCUGUUCCUGGAGUUUUUAGGUCUCCCUGAAAUGCUUGAUUGCCAGGUUCAGGUGUGUUUGAUUAGGGUUGGAGCUUAACUCGGCAGGACAGUAGAUCCCCAGGAACAGGGUUGGUCACCACUGAUCUAAAGUGUUUGUUUUUUAAGCAUGAAAGCUUAAAGGGGACAUUCCACAAGACUUAAGAUGUAAAAUAAAUCUUUAGUGUCCAUAUGUAAAGUUUUAGCUCAAAACAUCAUACAGAACAUUUAUUGUAGCAUUUCAAAAUAGGCACUUUAUGGGUGUAAGCAAAGAUACACAGUUUUGUGUGUAUCUCUUUAAAUCCAAAUGAGCUGGUGCUCAGGUGGGCGGAGUCUCAAGAGCUGGGGCACGUUCAAUCUCACACCGGUGCACAACGUUUUGCUACGGUUUCCGGGUUGAACGACAUGUUUCCUGGAAACGGUGUGCAACGGAAUGCAACAGGUUUUAGAAGCGUUUUCUCUUAUUUAGUGGGUGUGUCAGAAAUGUCGGCCCAACAGCGGCAAGAUGUAUAAAACCACGCGGUAGUAAAGAGACAGCUCGCUCAAUGGGUUCAAGUUGGAAUGUUGUCUUUCAUUCUGGACGGCAAGGAUUGACAUCUCUUCGAUAUCCUAGCAAUCAAGCCAGUUGAUCUAUUUCACUUUUGGGGGUAGGCUCCGCCCCUGCUUUCAACAUCAGGCAGGAUCUGCCGGACUACAGCUAGACCCGGACGAAAGGCGGGGCAUAUGCCAAAAUCUUAUGAGACUCAAGCAUCUCUUUUAUUUUGAGACUGAUUUGAAUUUCUGUCUUUUAAUUUAACAUGGAAUAAAUGUCAUUCAAACGUU